UCCAUCAACCUCUUCCAGACUAGUUCCCUGCAUGAAGCAAUUAUCAACAAGUGAAAUUAAUGUCGUGUACCUAACAGUAGACUCUCGUUAAUCCGGUCACCCUUGGGACCAUGCAGCUUGGCCGGAAUAGCAAGGUGGCUGCAGCUCAGGAAAUAGCCGCAGCUUAAAAACGACCUUACCUCGAAUCUAAUGACUACUUUUGCGGUUCUUGUCUCGAGGAUAAUGUAGGAUAAUGAGGAAUCAUUCUGUUCUCUAUUUAAGUGUAAUCUAAUUUUAUUUGCUAAACCACACCCAAAACGUCAUAUCCGGCCGUAAUAUACGUAUAAAAUUACAUUGAAAACCUUGUUUGGGACAGCCAGCACUGGCCGCGCCGGUUAACGGAAUAGCGAGUGGCCGUACUUCAGGGUUCUUGUUGCAUACGGAUGUGCAGUGAUGAUCUAACUAAUGGUUUCUUUGUUGCUGUGUUCAACCGAAAAUUGAAUACAAGUGUUAAAACAAAGUCACAAACAUUUGAGCAGAAGAAACAAUUGGAAAGCCCCAUCCCCAAACAAAUCUGUGCAUCAGUGAGGAAACGCAAGAAAAAUAAAAAGGGAAAACAUCCAGUUACAAAAAAAUAGGUGUUACAGAAACUCUAAUCGUAUUUAGCAUGCUGAGAAGUCCCACAAUUUUACAGUUCGAUCAUAGGAACCUGAAACAAUAACUUUGUCAUUGAACUGCAGACAUGUGACGCCAUCAGUAUGGGACUUUAAAGUCAGCAGUCGAUUGCCCGUGUGAACACUCCAUACCUGUGGUUGAUGUAUAAAAUUAUAGAAGGCAGUUUAAUCAUGUAAUUCUAUAUCUUGCCUUCAUUGUCUUGUCGUCGGCUGCACUAAUUAUUUUCCAGUUGUCAGCUUGUAAGUGUCUGAAAAAAGUUUAAUUGUUGUGUGUGCUCACACGCUUAUUAAA